GGGGAAUAUUGGACAAUGGGCGAAAGCCUGAUCCAGCCACGCCGCGUGAGUGAUGAAGGCCUUCGGGUCGUAAAGCUCUGUGGGGAGGGACGAACGGCGCCGUGAAGAACGGCGAUUGACGGUACCUCCUUAGCAAGCACCGGCUAACUUCGUGCCAGCAGCCGCGGUAAUACGAAGGGUGCAAACGUUGCUCGGAAUCAUUGGGCGUAAAGCGCACGUAGGCGGCUCCGUAAGUCGGAUGUGAAAUCCCUCGGCUUAACCGAGGACGUGCAUCCGAAACUGUGGAGCUUGAGUAUGGAAGAGGGUCGCAGAAUUCCCGGUGUAGAGGUGAAAUUCGUAGAUAUCGGGAGGAAUACCAGUGGCGAAGGCGGCGACCUGGGCCAAUACUGACGCUGAGGUGCGAAAGCGUGGGGAGCAAAC
rnacentral:rRNA from 1 species